CCUACGGGAGGCAGCAGUGGGGAAUAUUGCACAAUGGGGGAAACCCUGAUGCAGCGACGCCGCGGGAGUGAAGAAGUAUUUCGGUACGUAAAGCUCUAUCAGCAGGGAAGAAAAUGACGGUACCUGACUAAGAAGCCACGGCUAACUACGUGCCAGCAGCCGCGGUAAUACGUAGGGGGCAAGCGUUAUCCGGAUUUACUGGGGGUAAAGGGAGCGUAGACGGCAGCGCAAGUCUGGAGUGAAAUCCCAUGGCUUAACCAUGGAACUGCUUUGGAAACUGUGCAGCUAGAGUGCAGGAGAGGUAAGCGGAAGUCCUAGUGUAGCGGUGAAAUGCGUAGAUAUUAGGAGGAACACCAGUGGCGAAGGCGGCUUACUGGACUGUAACUGACGUUGAGGCUCGAAAGCGUGGGGAGCAAACAGGAUUAGAUACCCCUGUAGUC
rnacentral:rRNA from 1 species